UUCGGAUCGCGUGAGUGAUGGUAGCGGCAUCCUCCAAUUAGCAAAAACUUCAAAUAAGCUUUGUUUUUGCUAAUUGGAGAUAUAGCGGACAGCACGACCUCGU
rnacentral:sRNA from 1 species